AUUGAACGCUGGCGGCAGGCCUAACACAUGCAAGUCGAACGAGUGGCGGACGGGUGAGUAAUGUCUGGGAAACUGCCUGAUGGAGGGGGAUAACUACUGGAAACGGUAGCUAAUACCGCAUACCAUCAGAUGUGCCCAGAUGGGAUUAGCUAGUUGGUGGGGUACCGGCUCACCAAGGCGACGAUCCCUAGCUGGUGUGAGAGGGUGACCGGCCACACUGGAACUGAGACACUGUCCAGAUUCCUACGUGACGCAGCAGUGGGGAAUAUUGCACGAUGGGCGCAAGCCUGAUGCAGCCAUUCGUCGUGUAUGAAGAAGGCAUGCGGUUUGGAAAGUACUUUCAGCGGGGAGGCGUUACCCGCAGAAGAAGCACCGGCUAACGCCGUGCCAGCAGCCGCGGUAAUAC
rnacentral:rRNA from 1 species